rnacentral:rRNA from 1 species
AUUGAACGCUGGCGGCAGGCUUAACACAUGCAAGUCGAGCGGGGGAGGUUGCUUCGGUAACUGACCUAGCGGCGGACGGGUGAGUAAUGCUUAGGAAUCUGCCUAUUAGCGGGGGACAACAUCUCGAAAGGGAUGCUAAUACCGCAUACGUCCUACGGGAGAAAGCAGGGGACCUUCGGGCCUUGCGCUAGUAGAUGAGCCUAAGUCGGAUUAGCUAGUUGGUGGGGUAAAGGCCUACCAAGGCGACGAUCUGUAGCGGGUCUGAGAGGAUGAUCCGCCACACUGGGACUGAGACACGGCCCAGACUCCUACGGGAGGCAGCAGUGGGGAAUAUUGGACAAUGGGGGGAACCCUGAUCCAGCCAUGCCGCGUGUGUGAAGAAGGCCUUUUGGUUGUAAAGCACUUUAAGCGAGGAGGAGGCUACUGGUAUUAAUACUACCGGAUAGUGGACGUUACUCGCAGAAUAAGCACCGGCUAACUCUGUGCCAGCCGCCGCUGUAACAC